UACUUCUUCCUCCUUUACCAAUCACCAUAAUUGGCACUCGUCGCACAGUAGAGAUAGAGAGAGACAGAGGGUUCCGAGGGAUCUACUGCUCCCGUUAAUCAAUUUCUUUAAACCCUCUCCAUCGUUCGUAGCUUUGGUUUGUUUUCGCGAUUCGCUAUUGUUUUAUAAGUAUUUAUCAGUGCGAGAAUACGAAAAGAUGCUUCCUCUUUCGUUGCUCAAGUCUGCACAAGGACACC